UUGGCAUUGAGGGUAAGGCUCUAUCUCUGGAGGUGGCUAUAUGCCUGAGGCCUUCUGAAGGUCUUCACUCCCUUAUGAAUGCCCUUAUGCCUGAGCAGAGAAUGAUGCUUCUGUCUUUGCACGAAUUUCUCUCCGCUGUUCUCAAAGCAGACAAACAACGGGCCGGAUCCAGAGGCGAUGUAAAACGGCUGUCACUGUGGGUGUCGAUGGAAACCCUGCUUUGGGUUUCCUGUAACAGCUCUAUAAAGGAGCCAGGUCUGCGAGCACCAUCUAGUGGCUCUGCUCACACAGACAUCACCGCACGGCACAACGCCCUGCUGGGUUACAAAUAAGCUGCAGCUACAGCAAAGAUGGAGCUUCAUCCCACCUAGAGCUCUGCUGUAUGUCUUGCCCAGAUGGCUUCUCAAGAGCAGAACUUGUCACAAACUCUGUUAUAGCUGAGCAUCAUGAAUCUUGACUCCAGGCUGAGCACAGAUAUGGUAAGUGAUGAUGGGGAAGGAAUGAUUUCAGCCCUGCACAGAUGAGCAGCAUUUUGACUAAUUUAUGGACCAGGAACAAAGAAAGAGGUGAACAUUUAGUUUUCUUAAUUUUAAAAUUCCUCUGGAUGGCAGGUAAACUCGAUGUUAAUGCUAUGCACAGUUUUGACAAAAGAGCAGCUGGGUUCAUGCUUCUACCCAACUCUUCCUGAUGAAGAACCGUGUUACAGCAGCAUGAGCUCACAGUUCAUCACCAAGAGCCAUGACCCCACUGUCCCUGGCUGCAGGCAGGUGCCAGGACAAGGCAGUGAUCUGGGGCCUGCUUGGUAAGCAUUAAAAAAUAUCCC